rnacentral:misc_RNA from 1 species
UUCUUCCCUAACCCAUUGCCGUCCAAAUAGUAAACUCAUUUCACAGUUAUCACAGAUGAAUCACACAUGUGAAUGCAACACUUCUUGCCCAUUUGAGUAUGCAGUUGAAUCUAGAUGCCAAUAUAACACUAUUCAAGCAAGCAAACCAAAUCAUAACCAGAAGUUGAAACCAUAAUAUCAUCCUCUAGUUUUCCAAUGCCAACCUAGUGAGAGCGUCAAGCACCACAACGGCAAUCCCUCUGUUAUCGCUCCUCCCCGUUUUGGGUUGAUUAUCCCCUUUCGUGGUUAUGUCAUCAUAAAACGCUCGAGCGGCAAGCUUCACAAGCCUGGUUUAGUUUCCAAUAGUACUUAAAACAACAAAGAGCAACAAAUCAGAUUGAGAUUUGGAUGAAUUGAGAGCUAUAAAGCGUUUACCGAUUGAAGGGUUCAACGCUCAUGAUGUUGGCGUGCGGAUGCCAGCGUUUACCAGUUGAAAGAUUAAGGUUUUGGACGGAAGUAUAUCACUGCUAGCACUAAUCUUAUGGGGUGUGCGUAUGUUUGUUUGUUCGCGUGAGAGAGAGAAGUGCAUACGCUUUUGACGCAAUUAGAUGUGCAAUGAAGAUAAAGGAGACAUUCUU